rnacentral:lncRNA from 1 species
AAUGCUUUUAGAAGCACCAAGAAGAUAGUGCUUCUAAGUUUUUAGCAAUUGAAUCUACUUCUUGAUUAUUAAUAGUUUUUAGAUCAAAUACUAUUACACCUACCAUCACCAACCAUCAUCAUCCCAAUUCUAUAUUUUGUUCGUCCAAAGAUUAAAAACUAAAUAAUACCAUCGUUUUUGUGCGUUUGGAAGUAUUCUAACUCAACUCGACUAGAUAAUGUAGUCAAUAAUAGAUCAUGAAACAAUAAUACACACCAACUUACGUAAAUUG